CCUACGGGAGGCAGCAGUGGGGAAUAUUGGACAAUGGGGGCAACCCUGAUCCAGCCAUGCCGCGUGUGUGAAGAAGGCCCUCGGGUUGUAAAGCACUUUCAGUGAGGAAGAACGCCUGGUGGUUAAUACCCAUCAGGAAAGACAUCACUCACAGAAGAAGCACCGGCUAACUCCGUGCCAGCAGCCGCGGUAAUACGGAGGGUGCGAGCGUUAAUCGGAAUUACUGGGCGUAAAGCGCGCGUAGGUGGCUUGAUAAGCCGGUUGUGAAAGCCCCGGGCUCAACCUGGGAACGGCAUCCGGAACUGUCAAGCUAGAGUGCAGGAGAGGAAGAUAGAAUUCCCGGUGGAGCGGUGAUAUGCGUAGAGAUCGGGAGGAAUACCAGUAGCGAAGGCGGCCUUGUGGACUGACACUGACACUGAGGUGCGAAAGCGUGGGUAGCAAACAGGAUAAGAUACCCUGGUAGUC
rnacentral:rRNA from 1 species